rnacentral:rRNA from 1 species
CCUACGGGGGGCAGCAGUGAGGAAUAUUGGUCAAUGGACGAGAGUCUGAACCAGCCAAGUAGCGUGAAGGAUGACUGCCCUAUGGGUUGUAAACUUCUUUUAUAUGGGAAUAAAACGUUCCACGUGUGGGAUUUUGUAUGUACCAUAUGAAUAAGGAUCGGCUAACUCCGUGCCAGCAGCCGCGGUAAUACGGAGGAUCCGAGCGUUAUCCGGAUUUAUUGGGUUUAAAGGGAGCGUAGGUGGAUUGUUAAGUCAGUUGUGAAAGUUUGCGGCUCAACCGUAAAAUUGCAGUUGAAACUGGCAGUCUUGAGUACAGUAGAGGUGGGCGGUAUUCGUGGUGUAGCGGUGAAAUGCUUAGAUAUCACGAAGAACUCCGAUUGCGAAGGCAGUUCACUGGACUGCAACUGACACUGAGGCUCGAAAGUGUGGGUAUCAAACAGGAUUAGAUACCCUUGUAGUC